UUUCUUAUAAUACUCAUAUGUUUGAAAGACCUAAUUCUAAGAAAACGGGAGGCAUUGCAAACAUAACAGUCAGCAGGUAGUCCUCAGAACCGAGCUUGUUCUUGCUGAUUCUGCUCUAGCUCGUGCUCAACUGAGCUGCAGGUAUCAGGUGGUCAGACUCUCAGAGGGACCAUCAGGGAGGGGACUCCUGAAGGCUGGACCCAUGCAACUCCUGCCCGAGCCAGUAGCCCCGGCCACGCUGCCUGGGGAGGGGAGGUGACUCAGGCCUGGCUGUGGGAUCUCCUCUCCCUACCGCCUGACCGUCCAUCUUAGCCUCUCACUUGGGACAGAAAAUGACGAACAGAGAACAAGACCCCAGAGAACCAACAGUCAACAGGAUCACCAAAGCCUUUCACUUCUCCUUUUGCCAGUUCACAGGUGUGGUGGACCCACUUUGGAUGCUGAGGGAGCUGAAGGAGGCAGCUGCGUGGCUGGCUCUCUCCUCCCAGAAGGGGGGACGGUGCCCUUCCUGUGGCCUCAGCUUCCGUCUCCCACACUGAGGGAGGCCGUGGGUGCCCAGAUGCCACCUCCCACUGGGGGCAGGACAGGACUUGGCUGACCCGGGGGAGAUUCUGCAUCUUCCAGCCUCUCCUGGGAACUUCUGCCCAGCAGGGCUGCCCCCUGCUGCCACCUGGUCUUAGGCCCUCACGUCCUGCAGAAAAAGGCCUGGACUCAGAGAGAAAGCUGGAAUCUGGAUGCAGCCCCUGCCCGUCUGGCUGGGUCCACUUCCUGAGUUCUUGGACCUCAGGCUUCUCCUCCUCCUCCUGAGCAGUGAGGCCCAGGGACAGUCUGAGAGCAGGGCAGGGAGCUGGGAGGGGAGGAAGCUCAAGAGCCAGGAUUUAGCUGAUAAUGCCCAGCAGAGGCCUGAGUUCAAGGGCCACUUGGGGCCCCUGCUGGCUGUGUGUUCUCGGGCAAGUUUCAUGAACUACUCUGUGCCUUUGGAAUUCUCGGGUACC